rnacentral:tRNA from 1 species
GAGGUUAUAGCUCAGUGGUAGAGUACGUGCCUAGCAUGUGUGAGGUGCUGGGUUCAAUCCCCAGUACCUCCA